UUAAAUGGCAGGGUAAGCUUAAAAUGAUGUACAUGUAUAUAUAUAUAUAUUUAUAUAUACACAUAGUAUUAACGCGAUAAACUGAAAUUUAAACGUGCUAUUUACAAAAGGUGGUCUGCCCUAAGUGAGUACCACGCUAGGACUCUUGUUUCUAGGGCUUAUGAAUGCAAUAUAAGAAAAUAAAACAAUGGUUAGUUUAAUAAACGACACAUAACAUAUUGGAUCAACAAAAUAAUACAUAAAUAUAAGAUAAAAAAGAAAAAGAGAGGGGGUAAAAUCCCUCCCGUCGUAUCUAGUGUUCUUAAUAGGGUAGAUGAAGGUUCUAUCUUAGGUGAUUUCUAAAUGGAUGCAUGAGGUUGGGCUCACUAAUGCAUCUAAACUCGAUAAAGUUUCAGAUUCCCAAACCUUCAGACAAAAGGGCGAAGGGUCCUCAAUUCCAAAGUUCUUAGUCGGUGGCUCGAGUGACCCCUUUGAUAUUGCAACGUGCAUGUCGUGCCACGGUCACAUGUUCAAGUGGAUCGAUCCUAAUCCUAACAUAGAGGAAUGGUGUGAUAACCACUAAAAGAAAAUAAGAUAAAAGUUAAAAAUAAUAACAUAUGCACGUAUGAAGUGCUCAUUUGAGGGGAAGGAGUAAUACCCUUAAACAUGCAUGAAGGCUCUAUGGUAAUGUCGCUCCCCAUCCCCAAAUGCUAAGCGCGAUACAAAUAAAUAAAUAAACAAAAGUAAAUAGAUAAACCAUUUAUCACAUACACAAAAAACGAGGAACGAAUACUAGUGUGAAAUGUAAAACAUUCUGAAAAAAAGAAAAAUGCAACCUAAAACAUUCAAAUAUGAUAAAUGAAAGGGUUAGAAAGAUAAAAAACAACUAUGCCAAGUGCUUGGACUCUCUAGCGUUCCCAGUAGAUUCGCCAAGUAGUCGCGCCCUAUUUUUCACGAUGGAAAAAAAAUAUUUUUACCAUAGAUGCGGUUUUAUUUAAAAUAAGUGAAAAGAAAAUGUGAAAAGGGAUCUAAAAUGAGACUUUAAAAAAUGCGACACUUUGGGUCCAAAAAUUUAGUCAAAAGGAUUUUAAAGAAAAUAGAAGUCGCCACUUGGUAUUGAGUUUGAGUGUACCAAGUCACCCCAAAAAAUAUUUUUUAACAAAAAUAAAAUAAAAUAAAACUCCUUUCGACAACUACAGGUCUUUGAAAAACAAAAGAAAAUAGGUUCGGAAGUCACGGUCGAAAAAAGGGAAGGCAAAGAUUUGAUUAACUCAAACUUAAGGCAUCCUUUCAACUUAGUCUAAGUUAGUUGCGAGAUUUAGUCAAAAUUUUCCUAAUCUAGCUCUUAAUUCUAUCACAUUUGGAUGUUUUCUACAUGAAUGCAAAUCUAAAUUUAUAAAAUAUCGAAAGGGACAAAAUAUCCAUUUAAGGGUUUAAUUGAUACCAAUCGCAUUGAUUGCGAAGACAAAAUAAUUUCUUGAAGGGGUCACGAGCAUGCAUAAAUUGAAUUCAAAGAAAAGAAAAGAAACUUAAAUUAUAUAUCUAGAUAUAAGUGCGCAAAGAAUAGAAAAACAACAUAAUAGAUACGGGAGACAAAAACUCGUGACCUAAUUUUCUUAUACAGGGAUUAAUGGGUAUUUAAACUAAAAAAUUAUAAUCACCCAUUUCCCAUGUUCAAAGAAUAAUUCUCCUAACAUGAGCAAGCAAAUGAAUUAGCUGAAAUGAGAUACAAUUCUAAAUUAUAUGAUUAACACAUAUAGAGGGUAGGGGAUAAUAUAAUAGGAAAUAUCAUGCAAAUGAGAAAAAUUCUAAAAAUAAAAAUAUACAUGAAAAUGUAAUGGAUAUCAUACAAAAGAUGAAUCUAAUGCAUGAACCAUAUACGGGUCUCGCGUUGGACUAGCCCAUUUCUAAAAAAAUCUUUACUAGCAUUGGACUAGCAAGUAAAUAGAGGGAGAAACCACAACUAGCAUUGGACUAGUGUGGUGACGUCAUGCAUUCUUAACACAUAAUAUGAUAAAUAAGGCAUAAAUUAAAAUAAACAAACACAUAAGAGCACGUAGCACGUAACACAUGAUAUCUAAAUGCAAAGACCCUAAGAAAACGAGUAAACACGUAAACAUACAAGUAUGCAAACACACAAAGCAAAUAAGAGCAGAUAGAGACCUAACUAUUACAAUUUGGCAUUCAAUUGCCUUUUAAAUAAUCAUCAAAAAAUAAAUUUGUAGAACUUAAAAUAUAACAAGUAAAUAAAUAAAUAAAUAAAUAAAACACUUAAGCCAUGCAAUUACAAAUAAAACAUGUAGGAUCACAGAAAAAAUUUUAAAUUAUGAAAGAAAAUACCUCCCAUUGAAGUAGUAGCUACUUGAGUUUGGAUUUGCCCUAUUUAACUCCAAAAUUAACCAAAAUCAUUAAGGCACCCAUUUAAUCAACAAAUAAAUCAUUAAAAAUGGAAAUAAACAUGAAAUCAAUCAACUGAAACAUUCAAAUGGAAUAUAAUUCAUAAUUAAAAAGGAAAAGCAACUUCUAUUUAAGUAAUCAAAUCUAUUAGGGACCUAAUUACAAAAAUUAACAAAGUUUUAGGGAUCAAAUUGAAUUAUCACAAAGACCCAAGGUCAAAAUUAAAGAAAAAUAAAGUUUAGGGACCUAUUUACAAUUAAAUUAGGGACUUAAUUGAAGAAACCUAAAGUAUUUAGGACCACAAUAAAAUUAUUCAAAAAUCAAGGGACUGAAAUAUAAUUUCGUAACCAGAUUCUUAGCCAAAUCGGCCAUUAGGCCACUCUUAUUUAUCAUUUGGGCCAAAGGCCAUAAGGUCCACACAAAAGUCUAAGGAAAAAUACACAGGCUAGCCCGUAGUUGUAUCCAAAACACCAGCCCAAUGACAAAUGCAUGGGCUCUAGCCUCCUAUCCCAAGCCGAAAAUCCCAAUAAAAUAAACUAAAACCCAUUUCUAAAACCCAAACAAAAUAGCCCAGAUUUUUAUAUAAAACCCACCUAACAAACCUCAACCAAAACCUCCAACUAUUUUACCAAACCCAAUCAAAAUAAUAAAUCUAUCAAAAUUAUUAAAUCUUAAAUUUCAUCCUAAAAUUCAUAAAUAAUUUGUAAAAAAAAUCAUAUUAAAAAAUGCCAAAGAAAAUUUAAAUUUAAAGGGGCAGAAUUGAUUAUUUGCAGAAGUUUUUGAUCCACAGUGAAAUUAGGUAAAAAUUGGGGGAUCAAAAAUGAAAUUUUCAGAAAAUUCAUGCAUCCUGCCCAAAGCUUUCUUCUGCAGUUUCUGGGUUUGCUUGUCCGGCCAACUGAAGCUCCGACAGCCACGGCGGCGCCGACGCCUGUCACCGGAAAUUUCUCUGGUUGCCAAAAAUUACCAAAAUACACAUCCCCAUUCGAUUUUUGAAGUAGAUUCUAUUUUUUAAGUUAAUUUUUACAAAAAAAUGACCCGAAAGUGGCCAAAAGAGCAAAAGCCAGUCCAGUUUUUUUUUAACAUUCAAAUCUUCAUCAAAAAUCACAAAACUUUAUACUACCACACUCCUUGCAACUUCUACAAUACCACUAUAUUUUUAAAAUAAAGCAAAACAGCCCCUAAAAUUUAUUUUUUUUUCAUUUUGGCAUUUUUUCAAACAGUUAGCAUACAUAUAUAAAAAUUAUUUCCUUUUCCCUAAUCUAAUUCAAAUCAUUUUCCAAAUUUUUAACAAUACAACAAUAACAAUAAAAGACCACAAAAGCCAGAAAAUUAAACGAUAAAAUAUGGCUUUAACAUGGUUAACAAAAAAAUGAAAAAAAUACCUCAAUCUAAGCAAGAGUUUCACGGUCAAAAUUUUGAAGGGACUCCCAGGCUUCAUUCCUUCGUUGCUUGCUUUGUUGUAUUUAAAUUGUGUGUAGAUGUGUUGUGUGAAUUGAGAAAAUGGAGGGAUAGAGCCGAAAGGAUCAGAGAAAUUUUUUUCUCCUUCUUCCUCUCUGUUUUUUUAUUUCGGCAGCCUAAGCUGAGAGAAGAAGAGAGUGAGGGUCUCUCUGCAAAAUUUUCUUCUACUCCAUUGAGCCAGC
rnacentral:lncRNA from 1 species